rfam:Rattus norvegicus chromosome 18, whole genome shotgun sequence.
GGGGAUUUAGCUCAGUGGUAGAGCACUUGCCUAGCAAGCGCAAGGCCCUGGGUUCAGUCCCCU